rnacentral:rRNA from 1 species
GCGAUCAGCAGACCGCGACGGCGCACACGCCGCAGAUCGCUCCAGGCAUCGUCUUCCUCCGGGCCAUUUAGCGCCUGUUCGGUGGCGAUCAGAGCAUGUUUGAAGCGGGUGAAGGCUCGCAGGCUGAAGAACAGCGAAACCAGGCCGGCAGCGAACAGCGGCAGCCCCCAAUCGGCAAACACCACCGAUGUGCGCCCAAGCACCAGCACAGGCAGCACCAUCAGCAGCGUAUGCAGCCAGCCGUCACGUGCGAGCUGGCGAAGGGCGGCGGCUCGCGUCACGACUGCUCGGCUUCGCCCUGGUGAAUCUCGCCGAGCAUGUGGCCGAGCUUGCCGGCCUUGGUGGCGAGGUAUUUGCGGUUAUGCGGAUUGUGCGCGAUCUGCAGCGGCUUGCGCUCGGCGACGCGAAUGCCGAAGCCCUGCAGCGCCUUGACCUUGCGCGGGUUGUUGGUCAUCAGCUUGAUUUCGGCGAUGCCCAGAUGCUCGAGCAUCGGCAGGCAGAUGCCGUAGUCGCGCAUGUCAGGCGCGAAGCCCAGGCGCUCGUUGGCCUCAACGGUAUCGGCGCCAGCGUCCUGCAAUUCGUAGGCGCGGAUCUUGUUCAGCAGGCCGAUGCCGCGGCCUUCCUGGCGCAGAUAGAGCAGCACGCCGCGGCCCUCGUCGGCAAUCGCCCGCAGGGCCGCUUCCAGCUGGAAGCCGCAAUCACAGCGCAGGCUGAACAACGCAUCGCCGGUCAGGCACUCGGAAUGCAGACGGCCCAGCACCGGCUUGCCAUCGGCCACAUCGCCCAGCGUCAGCGCGACAUGCUCCUUGCCAGUGUCCUGGUCGAGAAAACCAUGCAUGGUGAACACACCGAACGGCGUCGGCAGUUGGGAAGCGGCGACGAACACGACAGACACGGGCGGAAAUCCCAGAGGCGGAAAAGCGGACAUUGUAACACCAACAAAAGACGAAUCAGGCCGCAGAGUUUUGCCAGCGUAAGCGCCAAUCGUGCCGCUCAGCGAGCUUGGCGACCGGUUGCUAGGACGUCUUCGACUCCAGCACCAGCACGCCCUGCUCCUCGCGCCAGCUGACGCGACCGAGAAAGCUCAUGCCGAGCAGCGCUUCGGUGGGCGAGCCCCCCUCGACGACUACCGCUUCCACGCCGAUCACUUCGAUCGCACCGACCUUCACACUGUUGAGAUGGACGCGCCAGGCCUUGGCAGUACCGCUGGCGGUACUCACCACCAUCGGCCGGCCGUUGACGCGGUAGUCGAUGCCCAAGCGACGGGCCUGAUGCUCGUUGAUCGCCACCGAUGUGGCGCCGGUAUCGACGAGAAACUGGAUCGAUUGGCCAUUGAUGGCGCCAGCGAUCCAGUAAUGGCCACCGGUGCCCUUGGCCACGCUCAGCUGGGUCUUGCUCGGCGCAGCAUAAGCCCCGCUGUAUUCGCGGCUCAGGUUGUAGUGACGCUCGACGCCGUCGACCCGCAGCACCGCGCCGCUGGCAUCGGCACUGACCACCUGCACGCCGCCCGGGCCGGUCUGGCCGACCUUGACCAGCUUGCGCUGGCCAUCGAUGUGUUCCUAGGCUGUUUCCUGGUGGGAUCCUCUAGAGUCGACCUGCAGGCAUGCAAGCUUGAGUAUUCUAUAGUCUCACCUAAAUAGCUUGGCGUAAUCAUGGUCAUAGCUGUUUCCUGUGUGAAAUUGUUAU